GAUCUGUAGAAAUACAAGAGGGGGGGGGUUGAUUUCGGGGCGAGCUCCUUUCCGCCAAGGGCGGGCCAAACCUACACACACUCACCGUUUGAAGAGUCUGAAGGCUCCGUUGAUCCGGGGAUCGCUAAGAAGUGAGUGGAAAGAGUGCGGGGCCAAAGGAGGUGAAAGAAAGGUGGAGUAGUGGUUGUGUUAAAGGAGCACCACAGAAAAAGGUGUGCUUACAAACCGAUUUGGUGUGAAGAAGCGGAGGUCUGGGUGAAGUCACAUUGGAGAGCGGUGGAGGUUGCCAUUUUGCUGGGUGAAGCAAGAGACAUAGACAGGAAACACUGGGCUGAGUAUACUUGACUUACAUUUGAUGAUUUUGAAUGGAAUAGCAUACGUGCACCAUUGAUGUAUUGUGUAAACAGUUUGGAAGACAACUCACCGGAAGUAUCAUUGAAGGCUAUCGCAAACGGCGAGACACGUGAGGGGUGAAGAGCACUUGGCUCACUAGGAGGAAGAAAUAAGGAGAGAGCAUUAUUACCAACUGUGAGUACAUUGGAUAUUAUACAACAUCAUUGUGGAAAGUGUACUGGUUCAGCGUGUGUUGUGAGCCUCCGGUGCACAGGUCAGCUGCCCCAUCACGGAGCAGAGUGUUGGGUGAGCCGGGAAACAUUCAUACAGAGAGACGUAAGCAGCCGCGACAGCAAUGUUUGGCAUCUGGUUCUACACCUACUACAACGCCCGACAAGUCUCACAAUACUGUGGCUUCGACCCUUUUUUCACAUUGAGUGUGUGGAGUGCCGUGGGUGAGUCCUUGUCUUUGCUGUGCAUGUGUACACUUGAAAUCUGCAGUGGGAUGCUGUGUUUGUGUUGUCUGUAGUCACACUAGACUGGACGAGUCGUGGGAAACAAGAACCGUCGAGGCUGGUGAAGUGCCCUCCCAAUAUAUGCUGUUUCGCGACUCCCGUAUGAAGACUUUGAUGUAAAACGUCCUGUAUAGACCCCUUUUUGGAUUUUCCUGGCUUCAUGUAGGCGGUGGUGAACUGGACAGGUAGAACCAGACUGUUGUGAGUAGUGAUUAAAAGAAUUCUUGUAUGCAACGAGGAAGUUGUACUGCUAUAAAGAGCUGUGUGGAUUAACCUUACCCGUUGCGGAGCCUCUUCAAAGGUGCGCCCCUGUCCCGAUCUCUAGAACUGUAGGAGGAAGAGAGGAGAGUGAAGCGGUCGGCUCGGUGUGACGGUGGGGAUGCCCCCCGACAUACCAGAUGCUCUUGGGAAGGCCUGGGUUAAACUGUUCUACUACACAAGGUCUGUAAGUUCAUUACUUCCUGUGUUGUACCAUAGUCACCGCAAGUCCACCGCCAGGGAAGAGUAGUUGAUGAGAAAUGGCUGCUGAUAGAGAAAUUGUAGGAUCACUGUAAAAAGUCCCAAUAAUUUGCAACCCAGCCACCAGAGUGACCAUAGAGCCCCAGUUACCUGUGAGAUACUUACCUUUUGUCCACUGCAACCCAGCCACCAGAGUGACCAUAGAGCCCCAGUUACCUGUGAGAUACUUACCUUUGUUCACUGCUACGAGCCACCAGAGUGACCAUAGAGCCCCAGUCACCUGUGAGAUACUUACCUUUGUUCACUGCUACGAGCCACCAAGGAGAUUGGAUCCAGUCACAUGACCCUAAGAAAAGUGAAGGCACAGAUACCGAUGAAAUACUGACUUGUGUUCUUUUUCCCCUCGUAUAGACCAUUUCAAAAGAUGUAAACAACACUGGUCCAGAAGCACUUCCUGUUUCCGUUUUUUAGCACUAGAUAAACGUUGGGAUAAAAUAAACCAACAGAACAUAUAAACGUGAAUUAACGGAAGUUAAACAAACAUCUUAAAGAUAAUAAUAUAUGUGAAAUAAAAAAAUAACUGUCACAAACUAUAACAGGAAGUGUUUCUGGACCAGUGUUGUUUACAUCAUUUGAACUGGUCUAUAGUCGAAACCAGGAAACAGACGUCAAGAAGUGGACCAGUCCAGAACGUGGUAAAACCAUUUAAGAUACUCACCUUGUACUGUGCCUGUCCUCAGGAGUACAACGCCAUGGGUAGUAUCCCCCCUCUCGGAACCACCAGGAAGGAGACCCCACUCGAAGGCCCUGGACAGAGACACAAAGAGGAAACAGUCAUUAAUUAGCCAGUGGUAAAGAGCCGUUCAUCAGAUCGGAUAUUCAUUGUAUGUUUUUUCUGCCUUCAGGACGAAGAGAAGGGCGCCACGGGUCAACAUAACCACAGGAGGAAGACCAAGGGUCACAAGAAGGGACGAAGGAGCUCCGUCCCCCCCCCCCCCCCUGUGGAUACACUCACCCCUGUACCGAAGUCUUCUUUGGCCCCGUCCUCCCCCUGGAAGACAGACGAGUCCUUUUUUUUAAUAGUCCCCUCUUACCUUCUCUGAACCAUUUUAAAUAAUUUAAAUAAAGCUUGUUUUAUCCUUACUUACGCUUUGUGUGUUUGGUCAUUGGGGUGGCUUUUCAACCUCGAGGUGGAAACUAGGAAGGGGCGUGACUUAUAACAUCUGGGUCCGCUCCGACCUGUGACAUUUUCGUAAUGUUUAUAGUGGUGUCAUUACUUUUACAGUUUAUAGUCAGGAGUAUUACUCCAGUCCAGUCAGCUAUUUAGGGGAGGGGGGGGGCCCUGUGUUGUGUUAUAGGCUGUAUGAUUUAAUGUUGUUGGAAUAAAAUGUACACUUAAAUGACAACACAUGCAAUUUUGUAUUGCGCCAUGUUGUCUGAUGGCCAUUUUCUCAUUAAAUAACAAUCUCUCAAACGAGUUUUUUAGUAAAAUCAAAUCACUACCUGUUGAAUUUGUCGUAAUCUAUGACGCUUUCACGUCAUGCAUUUUGCUGAUGAGGAAUGACAUAUCAUUGUUCGGAACUAUGUUAACGUAACGUAAAUAACGUAAAAACGAAUUCCUUUACUAAUUCAGUUUAUAUUGAGUUCUGUGUUUUCAAGUGGAUUAAUAAUUUGGUGUGGCACUGCCCAUAGACUGUAUAAAACAGGCACAGCUAUGCCCUAUUUUUUUUCUCAUUAUGAGUAAUAAUUUGUACCUGAGGAAAUUAUACUCCCCCCUUAACUCAGGUUAAAAUGGUCAGAUGCACAUCAUAUUUAUACUAGUAAUACCUCAUCUAAUGGAGUUUAUACUCUCAUAAGCAUUAAGCUGUAAAUACAAUAGAAAGAGUUUACUAAAGGUUUCACAGCCUUAAUAUCACACCUGUUAAAAUUAUACUCCCGCCUUAACUCAAAUUAAAAUGUUUAAAUGCACUGUCAGGUAGAGAACGCUGGCGGGUAAGGGAAGAGCAGGAAGACUCAGUACAGGUCUAUAAAUACAUAAAAUAAAACAAUAUUGUUAAGAGCUGUUGCUGCAAAUAUUCCAACACUUAACAUUUGCUAUUUGUAAAAUUGUUAAAAAUCCCUAAAGAAAAAUAAUAUUUUACAAAUGUUCAACCUAAACACUUUAGAAUUUGUUAAACUUACUGAGCUACUAAAGUACAGAGGAGAGAAGUGGCCGGAGCAGCCCACGGUGGAACCGGCAAAGGAGCAGGCCACGUUAAGACCUGCUGAUUGGUCCAUGACGGGACUUGCUGAGGAGCGGGCGGGACUGGCAGAGGAGCAAGAUAAAAGCAAAAAUAAAAAUAAUGGCAGUAACACUAAAAAUAAUGCUUUUGGGAAAAAUUGUGCAUAUAAGAAAAACUGUUUGAAAUGUAAAUACAUUUUUGAAUAAAUAAAAAUAAUGGCAGUAACACUAAAAAUUAUGCUUUUGGGAACAAUUGUGCAUAUAACAAAAACUGUUUGAAAUGUAAAUAAAUUUUUGAAUAACUUACAGAUAUCCUCAGGACCAGCCGAGUGCUUGACCGGCUUAGCAGUGGCUGACAGCAGGACCGUAAACAGACCGGCCGUCGGCAGAAACGGCAGAGGGGUGGGGCCGCCAGAGGAGUGGGCCAGCAGAGGACCGAGUGCGAGCUGGACUGCCAGAGGAACGGACGCAAGUGGGACCGGCAAAGGAGCAGCCCAUGUUGAGACCUGCUGAGGAGUGGUCCAUGGGGGGCCUUGCUAAGCAAAGGCCGCGGGCGGGACUGGCAACUGCGGCGGUGUGUACGUACAGUUACAUGGAAGCCGCCAUUUUGCGGCAUCAUGUUUCUACAGUAGCCCCAAACGAACAAACUGCUCUACAGAGUGCGUUAGUCAUUACGUUGUCUCAGACGAUGACAUGUUUAUCCUAUGACGGCCACCAUAGCUUCUCUAUGUGGUUCGAAAGGGAGGGUGCAAUUUGCAACCUCACCACUAGAUGUUGCUAAAAUGUACGCACUGCACCUUUAAAGUCAUUUUUGUGAUUUACAGUUUUUUAAAUCAAAUCAUGCUACAUAAUGUAAAGACUUUCUGUAAAUAUAUAACUAUUAGGGAUACUAACCCGAGCCAUGUCAAAAAUUUUAAACAAUGUAAAAAAUCUAACUUUGAUGGUACUAAUUUCAUCAUUAGAUUACGAGUCUUUAGCCUGGAUUUCACAGACAGAGUCACAUAUUGACUAAGAUAUUGGAGCAUGUUUAUGAAAUUUUUUUUUUUGUGAUAGCCAGUUUAAUCAUACUAACAUCCUGCGUUUGCUUGGAGUCUGCCUGCUGAAUGAACCUUAUUACCUCAUCCUGGAGGUGAUGGAGGGAGGAGACCUCCGUUCCUACCUGAGGGGAGCUUGACCUAUAACAACAGAGAGCUCCUGAAUCUAACCAGCCUUCUGGACAUCAGUUUGGAUGCCUCCAAAGGGUGUGCUUAUUUAGAAAGGAAGCGCUUUGUUCAUAAAUUUUCUUUGGGGGGCACAAAGGGGGCCAUCCGCUGAAAAAGUUUGAGAACGACUUCUUUAAAGAACCUUUAUUUAAAGCUGUCUAGGCUCUGCAUUAGAAAACAUAGAACUGUACUCAAUAGUGCACUGUAUCAAUUUCUUGUGUACAGAGAUAUUGCCGCCAGGAACUGUUUGGUUUCAGUAAAAAGCUACACGGACCCAAACAGGAUUGGCCCGUGAUGUGUACAAGAAUGACUACUACAGGGAAAAGGGUGAAGGUUUAUUUCCUGUACGCUGGAUGUCCCCAGAGAGUUUAACAGAUGGAAUUUUCAACAAAUACUCGGAUGUCUGGGCGUUUGGGGUUCUCCUGUGGGAGAUUAUGACAUUAGGAAAUCUUCCAUAUCCAACAUACACCAACCAUGAAGUCUUAGGCUACAUUAAUGCCGGUGGACGAUUGCCUUUACCAACAGGGUGUCCUAAGAGUUUGUACAAUCUGAUGAUGGACUGUUGGAAAAAGGGGCCACAUGAAAGGCCAAGCUUCCAGGACCUACAGGAAACCCCGCAUAAAUUGCGAGUUUACGAAGCAGAUCAAAUAAAAUAGGUCAUGUAAACCAAGCAUACCAAGAAGAUGAGGAGGAGGUCUGCACAAGGGUGGAUGAAGAUGAAGAUGUAGAAACAGGACUUUCUCCUGUGCUCAACAAGAUGGACUGAAUUACUUCAUGUAUCGAGCUGAGAGUCCAGACAGUGUCAGAACAGACAAUUCCACACUGUCAGAGGACAGAUAAGACUAGGAAACCACAUUUCACAAGACUUUUUUUAGAUGUCAAAUAAACAUCUGGUGUCCCCAGAAUAUGUAUGUGAAGUUUUAGCUCAAAAUACCAUCUAGAUCAUUUAUUAUAACAUGUUAAAAUUGACACUUUGUAUAGGUGAAAAUGUGCCGUUUUGGGUGUGUCCUAUAAAAUGCAAAUGAGCUGAUCUCGGCACUGAAUGGCAGUGCUGUGGUUGGAUAGUGCAGAUGAAGGGGCGGUAUUAUCCUCUUCUGACAUCACAUGGGGAGCCAAACUUCAAUUAGCUAUUUUUUCACAUGUUUGCAGAGAAUGGUUUACCAAAACUAAGUUACUGGGUUGAUCUUUUUUCACAUUUUCUAGGUUGAUAGAAGCACUGGGUACCCAAUUAUAGCACUUAAACAUGAAACAAGUCAGAUUUUCAUGAUAUGUCCCCUUUAAAAGUAACAUUACGUAUACGUAUACAUAUCAGAUGCACUAAAGCUACAAAACUGUACUAAAUUUGCUUUAGAU